rnacentral:rRNA from 1 species
UACAGAGGUGGCAAGCGUUGUUCGGAAUUACUGGGCGUAAAGGGCGCGUAGGCGGUCUUGCAAGUCCUGUGUGAAAUCCCUCGGCUCAACUGAGGAACUGCACAGGAAACUGCUUGGCUUGAGUUCGGGAGAGGGAAGCGGAAUUCCGGGUGUAGCGGUGAAAUGCGUAGAUAUCCGGAGGAACACCGGUGGCGAAGGCGGCUUCCUGGACCGACACUGACGCUGAGGCGCGAAGGCUAGGGGAGCAAACGGG